AACGAACGCUGGCGGCAGGCUUAACACAUGCAAGUCGAACGCAUCGCAAGAUGAGUGGCAGACGGGUGAGUAACGCGUGGGAACAUACCCUUUUCUACGGAAUAGCUCUGGGAAACUGGAAUUAAUACCGUAUACGCCCUACGGGGGAAAGAUUUAUCGGGGAAGGAUUGGCCCGCGUUGGAUUAGCUAGUUGGUGGGGUAAAGGCCUACCAAGGCGACGAUCCAUAGCUGGUCUGAGAGGACGAUCAGCCACAUUGGGACUGAGACACGGCCCAAACUCCGACGGGAGGCAGCAGUGGGGAAUAUUGGACAAUGGGCGCAAGCCUGAUCCAGCCAUGCCGCGUGAGUGAUGAAGGCCUUAGGGUUGUAAAGCUCUUUUACCCGGGAUGAUAAUGACAGUACCGGGAGAAUAAGCUCCGGCUAACUCCGUGCCAGCAGCCGCCGUAAUAC
rnacentral:rRNA from 1 species